rnacentral:rRNA from 1 species
AAUUAAAAAUAAAACUAAAAGGACGCGGUAACCUUGACCGUGAUAAUGUAGCAUAAUCACUCGCCAUUUAAUUGAUGGAUAGUAUGAAUGGUUGAACGAAUAUUCCACUGUCUUAAAGAGAAUUACAAGAAAUUGAAAUAAUAGUUAAGAUGCUAUUUAAAACUGUAAGACGAAAAGACCCUAUAGAGCUUAACUAUAGUCUCUUUACUAAAGAAGAAAAAUAAUUUUCUUACAUAAAGAGAUUGGUAGUUUAGUUGGGGCGACUGUCUUCUAAAAUAAACGAAGAUAAGCAAUGUUAAUAAAAGACUUAUUGUAUAAUGAAUUUAUUUAACAAUUACAAAAGUAGGCUAUAUUGACCCGUUUUUACUAAAAAACAAAGAAAAACGAUCAAUUGAUAAAAGCUACCUUAGGGAUAACAGGAUAAUUUCAUUUUAGAGCUC